UGAACUUUAGCUCAAUGGUAGAGCAGGCCACUCAUAAUGGUCUGAUCCUUGUUCAAUUCAAGGAAGUUCAA
rnacentral:tRNA from 1 species